ACCCGCUGAACUUAAGCAUAUCAGUAAGCGGAGGAAAAGAAACUAACUAGGAUUCCCCGAGUAGCGGCGAGCGAAAGGGGAGAAGCCCAGCGCCGAAGCCCGCGGCCCUCCGGCCGCCGUGCAAUGUGGCGUUUCGGCGGCGUUUCGCAGCGUAUCGCACUGGCACGUGUACCUCUGAAUGGGUCUGCCCGCAGCGGGUGUCAGGCCUCUACUUGCCAGCAGGUGCGGUCGCGGCUUUUCGUCGUCGCGGAGUCGGGUUGCUUGAGAGUGCAGCCCAAAGUGGGUGGUAAGCUCCAUCUAAGGCUAAAUACCUAGUGCGAGACCGAUAGCAAACAAGUACCGUGAGGGAAAGUUGCAAAGAACUUUGAAAAGAGAGUUCAAGAGUACGUGAAACCGUUCAGAGGCAAACGGACGGAACUGGGCGAGUUCGUCGUCGUCAUUCAGCUGGCGCGGGCCGCUUCGUGCGGCCCUGCGACGGUGCACUUGGCGGCGACGGAGCGCGACGACCGCCUGUCGGGUCGUCAGAAGCCCGGCGGCAAGGUGGCGACGCGCUCGCGCGUCGUGUUACAGGCCGCCGUGGCGUUGGCUGACCUGGCGGGCGAGGAGCGCCUGCGGUGCACUCCCGCACAGCGGGAGUGGCCCGACGCGGUGGGCUUGCGGACGCCGGCGACGAACUGCUCGCAGUUUGAUGCCGCGCGCGCCGUCUGUCGCGCCGCGCGGUGCCACGGGGCACCCAGGGUCCGGGUCGUGUGGUUCCUGGCACUCCGUCCGACCCGUCUUGAAACACGGACCAAGGAGUUGAGCACGUGCGCGAGUCGAUGGGCUCUACGAACCCCAGUGGCGCAGCUAAGGCAAAACGGGCGUGAUCCGGCACUGGCGUGUCGGCGCAACGCCGGCCCGCGGCCGACUCGAUGCGAGUGGCCGCGGCGCAAGAGCGUGCGUGCUCAGACCCGAAAGGUGGUGAACUAUGCUUGAGCAGGGCGAAGCCAGAGGAAACUCUGGUGGAGGCUCGCAGCGAUCCUGACGUGCAAAUCGGUCGUCAAACUUGAGCAUAGGGGCGAAAGACUAAUCGAACCGCCUAGUAGCUGGUUCCCUCCGAAGUUUCCCUCAGGAUAGCUGGCACUCGGGAUAAAUGGUUUUAUCCGGUAAAGCGAAUGAUUAGAGGCAUUGGGGACGAAACGUCCUCAACCUAUUCUCAAACUUUAAAUGGGUAAGAGGCGCGACCCUUCCCAAUCGGGGUCGCGUGCUUGAACAGAGAGUGCCCAGUGGGCCGUUUUUGGUAAGCAGAACUGGCGCUGUGGGAUGAACCAAACGCGCGGUUAGGGUGCCUAACGCACGCUCAUGAGACACCACAAAAGGUGUUGGUUGAUAUAGACAGCAGGACGGUGGCCAUGGAAGUCGGAAUCCGCUAAGGAGUGUGUAACAACUCACCUGCCGAAUCAACUAGCCCUGAAAAUGGAUGGCGCUGGAGCGUGCGACCCAUACCGCGCCGUCGGGGCAACGCGUGCGAAAUGCCAGGCCCCGACGAGUAGGAGGGCGUGUCGGUGGCGCUGAAGCGUAGUGCGUGAGCACGCGUGGAGCCGCCUUCAGUGCAGAUCUUGGUGGUAGUAGCAAGUAUACAAAUGAGAACUUUGUAGACCGAAGUGGAGAAGGGUUCCAUGUGAACAGCAGUUGGACAUGGGUCAGUCGGCCCUAAGAGAUCGGAAAAUUCCGUUCUGAACGGGGAAGACGCGUCGUGUGCCGCCGUCUGAGAACGAGGACCGUGCAAACCGCCCGCGAGGGCGGUGCGCGCGGGCAGAGCGGCCGGCACGCGCUCGCGAGAGGUCGACCCCGAUGCGAUCGAAAGGGAAUCGGGUUAAUAUUCCCGAACCUGGCAGUGGAGAUUGGGCCCUCGGGCCCCAGUGCGGUAACGCAACCGAACUCGGAGACGCCAGCGUCGAUCCCGGGAAGAGUUCUCUUUUCUUUGUUAGGAGCGGACUCCCUGGAAUUGGCUUGUCCAGAGAUAGGGACGUUGCAUCCGUAAAGCGUCGCGCCUCACGCGGCGUCCGGUGCAUCGGCGUUGGCCCUUGAAAAUCCGAGGGAGGCAGUGUAAUUUUCACUCCAGGCCGUACCCGAAUCCGCAGCAGGUCUCCAAGGUGAACAGCCUCUGGUCGAUAGAACAAUGUAGGUAAGGGAAGUCGGCAAAUCCGAUCCGUAACUUCGGGAUAAGGAUUGGCUCUGAGGUGCGGGCUGCUUCGGGUCGCGGCAAGAAGCGGACCGUGCGUUGGUUGGACUGGGCGCGUCUCGGCGCGCUCGGACCGCCGCCAGCGCGCGUCCGUGGGAGGCCGUGGCUUUCGCCGGCGUGGGCUCGCGCUCGCGUCGGCUUCGUUCGGCCUAAACGCACAGCACAGAACUGGCACGGACUCUGGGAACACGACUGUCUAAUUAAAACAAAGCAUCGCGAUGGCCGCUGGUCGGUGUUGACGCGAUGUGAUUUCUGCCCAGUGCUUUGAAUGUCAAA
rnacentral:rRNA from 1 species